CGGCUUCCUUUACCUGAAUAAUCCUUUAAAGGAGUAAUAAUUUUUAAAAAGGAGCUCGACCUCAGCCAAAGAGGACGGCGCACGAGAUUAGGGCUUGAUCCACUGCCUUUGGUUGGGCCGGCUGAAUCGCUGGGGACUGCGGCCAGUCUCUUAAAAAGGAGAACAAAAAGCCGAAGACCUUGUGUGGCCGCCGGGACAAAGCACUUUGGGUUCGGCGAGAAGGGACGCGCAGGAGCGCUGAACCCAGAACACGCGUGGCCGCUGCGGAAGGGCGUCCGCCGGGCGUGCGGAACGCUGAGGGUAUUCGGAUUGUCUUUUAUUUGUCCCUGUGGCUUGCUUUCACAGUGUCUACGUAGGAGAGGGGUCGGGGUUGUUGGGGUCUCUUUUUUUUUUCUGGGAGGGGUAGCUGAAUUGUGGGAGACCUAGGUGGACUUGACUUGGCUUUCCUGCUACUCUGCCUCUCCUUCUCAAGAUGCGGGGGUUGGGAAGGGGACAGGGGACUCAAGGCUUAGAAAAGAGAAGGAGCCCUCUGCUGACAGGAGGGCUAAGGGA
rnacentral:lncRNA from 1 species